rnacentral:rRNA from 1 species
GACGAACGCUGGCGGCGUGCUUAACACAUGCAAGUCGAACGGAAAGGCCCUGCUUUUGUGGGGUGCUCGAGUGGCGAACGGGUGAGUAACACGUGAGUAACCUGCCCUUGACUUUGGGAUAACUUCAGGAAACUGGGGCUAAUACCGGAUAGGAGCUCCUGCUGCAUGGUGGGGGAUGGAAAGUUUCGGCGGUUGGGGAUGGACUCGCGGCUUAUCAGCUUGUUGGUGGGGUAGUGGCUUACCAAGGCUUUGACGGGUAGCCGGCCUGAGAGGGUGACCGGCCACAUUGGGACUGAGAUACGGCCCAGACUCCUACGGGAGGCAGCAGUGGGGAAUAUUGCACAAUGGGCGGAAGCCUGAUGCAGCAACGCCGCGUGCGGGAUGACGGCAUUCGGGUUGUAAACCGCUUUCGCCUGUGACGAAGCAUGAGGGAAGGUAAUGGGUAAAGAAGCACCGGCUAAAUACGUG